UUAAUAAAAGCUUAUUUUUAAGCAUUUCAUUGUUAAUGAAAAGAAGAAUAAAAUUCUUGUUAAG
rnacentral:tRNA from 1 species